rnacentral:rRNA from 1 species
UACGUAGGGGGCAAGCGUUGUCCGGAUUUAUUGGGCGUAAAGAGCGUGUAGGCGGUUUGGUAGGUCCGCUGUGAAAACUCGAGGCUCAACCUCGAGACGCCGGUGGAAACCAUCAGGCUAGAGUCCGGAAGAGGAGAGUGGAAUUCCUGGUGUAGCGGUGAAAUGCGUAGAGAUGUGGAGGAAUACCGAUGGCGAAGGCAGCCUCCUGGGCCAACACUGACGCUCAUGCACGAAAGCGUGGGGAGCAAACAGG